rnacentral:rRNA from 1 species
AGCAGUCGCCGCGGGAAUACAGAGGGUGCAAGCGUUAUCCGGAAUGAUUGGGCGUAAAGCGUCUGUAGGUGGCUUUUCAAGUCCGCCGUCAAAUCCCAGGGCUCAACCCUGGACAGGCGGUGGAAACUACCAAGCUGGAGUACGGUAGGGGCAGAGGGAAUUUCCGGUGGAGCGGUGAAAUGCGUAGAGAUGUGGAGGAACACCAGUGGCGAAGGCGACUCUCUGGUCUGUACUGACGCUGAGGAGCGAAAGCGUGGGGAGCGAACAGGAUUAGAUACCCCGGUAGUCCCUGUCUCUUAUACC